rnacentral:rRNA from 1 species
AUUGAACGCUGGCGGCAGGCCUAACACAUGCAAGUCGAGCGAGCGGCGGACGGGUGAGUACUGUCUGGGAAACUGCCUGCGAGAGGGGGAUAACUCCUGGAAACGGUAUCUAAUACCGCAUACCCUCAGAUUUUCCCAUAUGGGAUUAGCUAGUAGGUGGGGUAACGGCUCACCUAGGCGACGCUCCCUAGCUGGUCUGAGAGGAUGACCAGCCACACUGGAAAUGAGACACGGGCCAGACUCCUACGGUAGGCAGCAGUGGGGAAUAGUGCACAAUGGGCGCAAGCCUGAUGCAGCCAGGCCGCGUGUGUGAAGAAGGCCUUCGGGUUGUAAAGCACUUUCAGCGGGGAGGCGUUACCCGCAGAAGAAGCACCGGCUAACUCCGUGCCAGCAGCCGCGGUAAUUC